AGAAAGUUAGUCUAAACAAGAUAGCUGAUUUCGGCUCAGCAGAUUAUAGAAAAUGCUAUAACUUUCUU
rnacentral:tRNA from 1 species